rnacentral:rRNA from 1 species
GACGAACGCUGGCGGCGUGCUUAACACAUGCAAGUCGAACGGAAAGGCCCUGCUUUUGUGGGGUGCUCGAGUGGCGAACGGGUGAGUAACACGUGAGUAACCUGCCCUUGACUUUGGGAUAACUUCAGGAAACUGGGGCUAAUACCGGAUAGGAGCUCCUGCUGCAUGGUGGGGGUUGGAAAGUUUCGGCGGUUGGGGAUGGACUCGCGGCUUAUCAGCUUGUUGGUGGGGUAGUGGCUUACCAAGGCUUUGACGGGUAGCCGGCCUGAGAGGGUGACCGGCCACAUUGGGACUGAGAUACGGCACAGACUCCUACGGGAGGCAGCAGUGGGGAAUAUUGCACAAUGGGCGGAAGCCUGAUGCAGCAACGCCGCGUGCGGGAUAACGGCCUUCGGGUUGUAAACCGCUUUCGCCUGUGACGAAGCGUGAGUGACGGUAAUGGGUAAAGAAGCACCGGCUAACUACGUG